rnacentral:rRNA from 1 species
AUUGAACGCUGGCGGCAUGCCUUACACAUGCAAGUCGAACGGCAGCACGGGUGCUUGCACCUGGUGGCGAGUGGCGAACGGGUGAGUAAUACAUCGGAACGUACCUUAUCGUGGGGGAUAACGCAGCGAAAGCUGUGCUAAUACCGCAUACGCCCUGAGGGGGAAAGCGGGGGAUCGCAAGACCUCGCGCGAUUAGUGCGGCCGAUGCCUGAUUAGCUUGUUGGUGGGGUAAAAGCCCACCAAGGCGACGAUCAGUAGCUGGUCUGAGAGGACGAUCAGCCACACUGGGACUGAGACACGGCCCAGACUCCUACGGGAGGCAGCAGUGGGAAUUUUGGACAAUGGGGGCAACCCUGAUCCAGCAAUGCCGCGUGAGUGAAGAAGGCCUUCGGGUUGUAAAGCUCUUUUGUCAGGGAAGAAACACCGGCUCUAACACAGUCCGGGAAUGACGGUACCUGAAGAAUAAGCACCGGCUAACUACGUGCCAGCCGCCGCGGUAA